CAAAUGAAUAAUAAUUUCACCUAUUCUGCGCUAUUAUUAUUAUAGAACAUUGUUCUAAUGUUCUAUGUUAUUAUUGGUUUGUUCUUUGAUACCACGGCUUCAGAGUUUAGAUAUCAUAGAACCAUAUAGAUUAUGGUACAUCACAGUUUCUAUAAUAUAGUAUAGAUUUUAGAGAUAAUAUAAACUUAUUACCAACUAUUAAUCUAUAUCUAUCCUUAGUUAAUCUGCAUUAUUUUGAGUUUAUGUUUGUGGGUAAAUAACACAAUAAAGAUAUCCUAAGACUUAUCUAAACAAGUCGACUAAAGGCAUCUUUAUAGUAUACAUGUAUGUAGUCUAGAACUCAGGAAUCAAGAUUCAGUAAACUAGUAUCAACUGUAGUAUACUACUACAAUAUAUACCCAUGUAGCUACACAUGUCUGAUGUAUGUUUAAAUUAUGAAAAAUCAUCUGAGUCCACAGUGAAAAAUUUGUAGUUCCAAAUGAUUUUUUAAGACCAGAUCAAUACUAGAGAAUGCAAUGAGCAAAGAAAAGAUUUCGGAUAGUGUAUCUGUACUAAUAGAACUUAUAGAAGUAUCUAUUCAUUGUAUACUAUACGCAAGAAAAAUAUAUCCUGAAGGUAUUUUUGAACUAAAGAAGAAAUACAAUGUACCUGUGCAUGUUUCUGUUUAUCCAAAGUUGAAUUCAUAUAUAAAUGGUACACUCAAUGCUGUAAAAAGUCUAUUGAAAUUAAAAAAAAUGUGCAAAUUGGAUGUUAGUUUUUAUAACAAGAUUGGAGUUGUAGUUGAACGCUUUGUAUUAAAUAUUCAUAAUGUUGAACUUGAAUUGAAUUUAUCAGAUUUUUCGAAUUUAAGGGAUCCAUAUUUAGUAAAGUUAGAACAAAUGUUGAGAGCUUUCUGUUUAAAACUAACAGUUUGUGAUUCCCUGUUGAAGCCUUUACCUUCAAGUUGUACAUUUCAGAUUCACAUUCAUACAACUGAAACAAACUCCAUUGAAAUUCAAAAAGAUACAGAAGGAUUUCCAUUAAUACCUAGUGAAAAAAAAGAUACAAUUUUAACAUCACCUGCAAUAGUACCGUUGCGUAGUAUUGACUGUGAACAUUUAAAUUUAGAAAUCUAUGCUGAAGAAGGAAAUAAAGACGAAGACCCGGAUUUAUUUACACAAAGUCCAUUAAUUUAAAUACACUCAAUAUCAAUGUUGAAUAUUUCAUGACAAAAAUUAUUAUGACUAUAGGAUUAUUAAACAGACCAGUUUAAAUCCUUCCCCUAAACUGGGUUAAUCAAGGUAUUAUAGUUAGACAAUUGAAGACAAACAUUUAGAAAAGUAUAAUAAGGCCAGUAAGUAAAAACAUAGAACAUAAUAUUAUUAUAAUUUAAAAAAAAUAUAACAGAAACGGCUGACUUUGGUAUCUUAUACAACUAUUGCAUUUAAUUGGCCCCUCAAAUUGUAAAUUACUCCAAUCAGUUAAAUUAAAAAAUAGACACUUGUUUUACAUAAACAAUUCAGUUUCAAUAGUUGCUUGGAGAUAAGAACCAUUUUUUGCUGUUAAUCAUUCACUGCUAGUACUCAUACAAUUUAUUAUAAACAAUUUCUUAUUUUUCAGAAAAUUCACUCAUGAGUCAUGAACCCCUUUUCCAAAAAAUAAUUUAGAAUUUGAAUUUGGGUACUUAUAGGUUACAUACCAUUGAUAAUUAUAUAGUUUAUUCUAAAAAAAAUGUUAGUAACUGUUAUUUGCAAAAAUAUAAAAAAAGUAAAAAUUAAAAGCAUUAAUCAUAAAUAAGUACUAACUAGGCUAGCAUUUCUAUGCACUUGUGUGUUUUUUUCCUUGAGUCUAAAUUGAUUGGUUGUCAGGUAUGUGCACGAUUUGGAUUAUUCUAAAUUAAAUAGAACAACCUUUUUUUGAAUAUUUUGAACAUAAAGCUCAUGAUUGCAUGGUUUGAUUUAUGAAAAUCUUAUGAAUUUUAAAUGGUAUUUAUCUAAUGAACAUUAAUAAUUAUUAGGUUAUUUGUCGAAUUAUCUUAAAUUAACCAUCAAAAAUCUUAUCUAGGUAAAACGAGCGAUAGAAUUACCUAUAUAUUAUUUUUGUUUUUUAUAAGAAUGAGUUUAGUCAAUAUACAUCCAUUCAUCGUUCUAAUUUGCUCAUCAUUUGAGUUUAAAAAUUUGAAGGAAUAUAUCACAUCAAUAUUUAAUGCAGUGGUGAAAGUAGGGGCAGGGGGACAAAGCCCCCUUAUUGAAAGCAAAAUUAUGCAUCUGGCUUCAAUUAAGUCCUCAGGGAUGCCUAACAAAAAAUGUAUUAACGAGAUAUUUGAUUUAAAUUAAUAUUUGUCUUUUUAAUUAAAUAUAUUCAUAUACAACUAAAACAACUUCAAAAUUUAAAUAAAAACACAAUAUACACUAUUUUUAAUAUUUCAAGCUAUAAAUUGCAAUUUAUUUUUACUGAGCAGGCGUAAUAUGUGUAGGUAGAGCCAUGUUUUUUAGGAGGAAAUUAAUUUUUACAUCCUACAAUAAAAUUUAAUUUUUACGGUAAAUUUAAACCUUUAUAAAUCCUCAUCACAUGAUGCAUAAUAUGUAAUUAU